GACGAACGCUGGCGGCGUGCUUAACACAUGCAAGUCGAACGGAAAGGCCCUGCUUUUGUGGGGUGCUCGGGUGGCGAACGGGUGAGUAACACGUGAGUAACCUGCCCUUGACUUUGGGAUAACUUCAGGAAACUGGGGCUAAUACCGGAUAGGAGCUCCCGCUGCAUGGUGGGGGUUGGAAAGUUUCGGCGGUUGGGGAUGGACUCGCGGCGUAUCAGCUCGUUGGUGGGGUAGUGGCUUACCAAGGCUUUGACGGGUAGCCGGGCUGAGAGGGUGACCGGCCACAUUGGGACUGAGAUACGGCCCAGACUCCUACGGGAGGCAGCAGUGGGGAAUAUUGCACAAUGGGCGGAAGCCUGAUGCAGCAACGCCGCGUGGGGGAUGACGGCCUUCGGGUUGUAAACCGCUUCCGCCUGUGACGAGGCGUGAGUGACGGUAAUGGGUAAAGAAGCACCGGCUAACUACGUG
rnacentral:rRNA from 1 species